rnacentral:lncRNA from 13 species
GACAGCCAGCUGCGAUGUGAUCAGAAAGCCAACAGGAGCCACUGCGGAGCCUUUGGUGGCUGCUUCCUUCAUGGGCCUCUCAUCCAUCAUACAAGAUUGAAAUCCACUGGGACAGUCACCUUCUUUCCCAAUGGGGAGUCAGGGGUGAGAGAGUCAAGUCCCAGGUCUACUUCCGGAUUUUCUCUUCUGUUUCACUGAGCUGUGUGUCUGUCCAUCUACUAGAAGAACCACACUGUCUUCACUACUACAAUGUAUGGUGCUGACACCAGGAAAAUAAUAGAAGUUAACACAGUUAUGGGCUGCCAAUGAGGUGA